AGGGACCCUGCAGAGCUGAAACUUAGAGAUGUGAAGAGGGAGUGCUCCUCAGCUGGCGUUGGUGAGAGGAGUUGAAAGGAGUCCCAUGGACCUGAGACCUGAAAAGGAGACACUUCUAAAAAUGAGGUGUGGGGCAGCUCCCACCCCCUGGCCACUGCUCCAUGGAAACCUCAUAGGACUGAAAGGCCACCAUCAAAAAUGCGGCUACCAGAGGCUGAAAGGAAGAUGGCGGCGUGAGCAGACGUUGAACUCGCCUCCUCCCAGGAACACAACCAGGUUGCAACAAUUUUUGGAAGAAUUACCCUGGAUUGAAAACUGGAAACUGGAUAAAAAGAACUCCCAUGACAAGAGACACUCCUGAUGAAGGCAGAAGAGGCAGUAAUUCCGACCAGAGAGGAAAAAAGCCACCUUUGGGAGCAGCGGAGCUUCUCAGCUGGCCAGGCGGGAGCCAACCUAAGGAUCCCAUCCAGGACGUCACAGUCAUUACAUCUAGUCGUCAAGUUUCUUUAGGUUCUUCUUGGCUGUGACAGUUUCUCAGACUUUCCUUGUUUUUAAAGACGACAUUUUGAGGCGUACUGGUCAGUUCUUUCAACAAUCCUUUUUCAAUAAACAAGCGUGAAGUUCCUGUUUCCUUUUGCUUUCAACAAAGAAGAGAAAAGAAGCAGACACAACAAAGUAAAUUCAAAAGAUACAGACCCCUAGGAGAAGGAAGAAGGGGUUUCACAUCUUCCUUUCCAUGUAGUUCCCAGGAGGGAAAGUUCCUUCCAUGUCACCUUGCAAAGAGAGGAUAGCCAUCCAGCACAUCUGUGUCCUCCAGAAAUGGGUCAAACUCUGGCACCAAUAAAGAGAAGGAUCAAAGGAGUCCAGGGAAAGUCUUGGGUGAAGGUGGAAUUAUCCACAAGCCCCUCAAGAUAUCAAGAUACCAUUGUGAACGUUGCCAGUGCUUGUAAAGCGGCCUGUGGAUCUUUCAAUAAAGCAGCAUCAAGUAAGAGGCAGUGCCCGUCAUUUCCUAGAAGCGCUGGAAGUAUGUUGGUGGGACCACCUUGCCAAGAAGGGGACUCAGCAAAGUGUGUGGUCUGAAAGGCACCAAUAAAUGGAUAGAGGGAAAGAGAGCCAGAACAACUGCCUGGGGUUUCCUUCUGAUGGUCCUCAGAGGCUGCUUACUCCAGAAAGCCCUCCCUGGUCCCUGGGCUAGCCUGGGCUGGGCAUCUCUAUGCACAUAAGGCUGUGAACUCUCAUUCACUUAUCAACAAAUAUUUACUCAUCCCCUAAUAUGAGUCAAGCACUGAGCUAGGUGCUAAGGAUAAACAGAGGAAUUAUACCCUGAGAUCUCAAAACUCACAUCCCAAGAAAUGGAGAAGGAGGGUGAGGGAUCACAAACAUAUCACAUGCAAUUACAAUACCUAAGUCGAUAGAUGACAACAGGCGAGACAGAAUAAGAACUGCUCAGGCUAGGAGGCAAAGGAAGGCAGUGUGGACAAGGAGGCAUCUAAGCAGAGUCUUAAAGGAUGACAAUUAACCCUCCAAUUCCGCUCCUUGACCGUUCUUCAUACGAUCUAUUACAAUAUUACCAUUUUCUUCUCUUUCCUUUACUCAGCUACUUUUUUCUCCUUAAUUUCUCUUAUAGACACAUUUUUGACUUGCUCACUGUAUCAGUCAAGGUGCCACCAGAAAAACAGAACCAGUAGGAUAUAUAUAAAGGGAUAGAAGGUAUAUAUAGAGAGAGAUGAAGAUACAGAGAGAAAGAUUUAUUGCAAGGAAUUGGCAUAUGCAAUUGUAGGAGUUGGCUAGGCAAGUCUGAAAUCCUUGAGGCAGGCUGUCGGGGAGGAAGGCUGGAAACCCUCCUGCAGGAGCCGAUGCUGCAGUCCACAGGUGGAAUUCCUUCUUCCUCUGGGAAACCUUAGUUCUGUUCUUAAGGCCUUGCAACUGAUUAGAUCAGACCUACACAGAUUUUAUGCCCCAUAGUCAUUUAGAAAGAUGGUAAAUGCAAGGCACAUUUGUUUAGAAAUUAAUGAAAGAUGAAAACAUGGGACUUUUGGACCCCAGAAAACCAAAAAGCAACUUCCAUUCCUAACCUUUCCUUCCUUUCUCCUUUAAGUGUACAGAAAAAUAAUUAAAUACUCAAGCCCUGUAAUCAACUAGAUUUGAAAUCUAGGUUAUGUAGCCUUUGGCAAUUUCAUAACCACUGUGAACCUCAGUCUCUUCAUCUACAGCAUGGGAAAAUAAUAAACCUUACCUCAGACAGUUGCUGUGAGGAUAAAAUGAGAAAUACAUGCAAAAGCACUUAGCACAAAGACAAGUAUAUUAUGAAUUUUUUUAAGUUGGCUA
ensembl:lncRNA